UGGAAGGUGGUCUAAUGGUAGGACCAUGGACUUUGACUCCAUUAGUGCAGGUUCGAGUCCUGCCCUUCCAACCA
rnacentral:tRNA from 1 species